rnacentral:rRNA from 1 species
GACGAACGCUGGAGGCGUGCUUAACACAUGCAAGUCGAACGAAGUGGCGAACGGGUGAGUAACGCAUAAUCAACCUGCCCUUCAGAGGGGGACAACCGUUGGAAACGACUGCUAAUACCGCAUACUGAAGGAGGGGAUUGCGUCUGAUUUGCUAGUUGGAGGGGUAACGGCCCACCAAGGCUAUGAACAGGAGACGGUCUGAUAGGAGGAACGGCCACAUUGGGACUGAGAAACGGCCAAGACUCCGACGGAAGGCAGCAGUGGGGAAUCUUCCGAAAUGGACGAAAGUCUGACGGAGCAACGCCGCGUGAGUGAUGACGGCCUUCGGGUUGUAAAGAUCUGUUAAUCGGGACGCGGUACCGGAAUAGAAAGCCACGGCUAACUACGUGCCAGCCGCCGCGGUAAUUC